GGCAGCAGCUAAGAAUAUUCCGCAAUGGACGAAAGUCUGACGGAGCGACGCCGCGUGGAUGAAGAAGGCCGGAAGGUUGUAAAAUCCUUUUAAACGGGAAGAAUAAGUCCUGCAGGGAAUGGCAGGGCGGUGACGGUACCGUUUGAAUAAGCAACGGCUAAUUACGUGCCAGCAGCCGCGGUAACACGUAAGUUGCGAGCGUUGUUCGGAAUUAUUGGGCGUAAAGGGUAUGUAGGCGGUUCUGAAAGCUUGGUGUGAAAGGCAGGGGCUCAACCCCUGGACUGCAUUGAGAACUGCAGGACUAGAAUUACUGAAGGGCAGCCAGAAUUCCAUGUGUAGGGGUGAAAUCUGUAGAUAUGUGGAAGAAUACCAAUGGCGAAGGCAGGCUGCUGGCAGAUGAUUGACGCUGAGGUACGAAAGUGCGGGGAGCAAACAGGAUUAGAUACCCUGGUAGUCCGCACAGUAAACGAUGUGCACUAGGUGUAGGUGCUGAAGCAUCUGUGCCGGAGCGAACGUGAUAAGUGCACCGCCUGGGGAGUAUGCCCGCAAGGGUGAAACUCAAAGGAAUUGACGG
rnacentral:rRNA from 1 species